GACAUCUCUACACACAUCUGUCAAAUAAUAGCAUCUGUUGCAUCAACUGUAGAAGAAUUCGCGCAUUAUUUUGUUCAAUAUUUUAAAUAUCUUUUAUCGAGAAUGACAAACUUUCAAAGGCAAUGUAUUACCGAGCAUUUAAAAGCUGAAGAAAAAGAUGAGGGAGAUGCUCUCCAUGAAUUCACUCCAGCGCGAUUGCAGACCCUGCUGAAAUACUUCCGCAUCAUUCCGGGUUUUCUGAAAAAUCCUGCCAACUAUCCACGCACCCUGAAUCUCAUAGCCAAUGACCUGAACGAAUCGACAUUCCAAAAAUCCGCCACCGAAAUCCUACACGCCAUCGAACACUGGAAGACUCGGGUUGGUCUGCUGACGGCAGAUCCGUCGGAACCAGCUCGCCCAACGGACCGGGAACUGCAACGGUUGCUCAUGGCCCUGGAAACCCGUCUGACACAUUCCCAAAUUACGCUAAUAUUGCAACACAUGGAAGUGGUGGGCAGUGAUGCGGAUGGCCUUUGGGCUACUAUUGCGGUGGAGAUGCGCGCUUUGAAGCAUCCGCCUCGUCCGGAAGUUUACUGGCGACGGGGAUUUGAGGAGUGGUGCAGCAAUGCGAGGGAUCAAUUUCGGGACGAUCCGGAAGCGGUGACGGCAUUGCAGCAGAGGUUCAUUGAUUUUGCCGGUGAGCAAGUUGAGCUGGCCGACAAUGGAAGUGGGCCGGAAGUGGACGCCUUGGAGCUGGUGAUGAACCACUGCCGGACUUGUUUAAAAAUGCUCAGGGCAGCCGAUCCGAAGGCGUACCUGUUUGAAGCGGCCGGGACAGAGACUACACUGGCCGAUAAGAUUAAUGUUUGCUUUGGGACGGAGAUGGGAUUGGAGGAGCGAUUGCCAAAGUACGUUUGCCGAAAAUGUGUGGAAAAGGUGGAGGGGGCGUAUGCGUUGAAAAUGCAGAUCGACCGUACCGGUGAGGAGUUGCAGAACUUGAUUGGGGAGUAUAGAAAGACGAAUACCGUGGUUGAGGCAGAUAUGAAAAAUGAGCAUUGCGAAGAGAUUGUCGCGCUAGAAUUUUUGGAAGAGCAUGCAGAGAUGAUGGAGGAAAAAUAUGUUGAACCUUUGGAGGAAGAAGUACCUGCAGAGGACAAUAUCUUGUAUAAUUGGGAAGAGGUGUAUGAUAAUGAAAUGAUUGUUGGUCAAGAGGAGCACGAAGAUGUGAGCGAGACGCAUGAAGCUGAGUGUUCUGAUGUAGUAUUGGAUGGCGAAGAGGAUUAUCUGGAAGCUGAUGAGGAGGAAACAUAUGUCAAUCAGGAAUCGAAAAAGAGGAAACCUAAAUCAAAGAAAAAAGCGCCACGCAAAAAUCUAGCCGACUUGAACGACAAGUUCUAUCCGUGCCCAGAAUGUAAAGUUAUCCUGCGAACGUACGAGCUUUGGAAGGCACAUAGAGCUCGACAUGUUGAAGAAAAACGGUAUACCUGUAAGGUCUGCUCCAAGCAAUUCCGUUCCUCUACGACUUUAAGAAUUCAUCAGCGAACACACACCAAUGAACGCCCCUACGUUUGUGAGGUGUGCAGUAAAGCUUUCCGAACAUACAGCCAGCUAAAGGCUCACGGUUUCGUGCAUAACCCGGCAGAUCGUCCGGUGCAGUGCGAGUACUGUUCUUAUCGGACGAGCACUAAAUCGUCACUGUCUAUUCAUAUGAAGUCGCACUUGAACGCUCGGCCUUAUGUUUGCGCGUAUUGCAAAACGGGAUUCCGAACGUCCAGCAAUAUGCACAAACACGUUCGUAAUAUGCACGAAAGCAAGCGAUCAUUUGAGUGCAAAGAAUGUGAAAAGACAUUCACUACCAAGGAAACGGCCCAGAAGCACAUGGUGAGGCACACUGGCAAGAAACCGUAUUCCUGUCCGGAGUGUUCUUCCACGUACGGGUGGUACAAUGGACUGCAAAAGCACAUGAAGUCCAUGCAUCCGGGGGUGUCGAUCCCCACUGAGAAAACCAUGAUUGUGGCCUCACUGGCGGCAGCUGAUGUGGAUCAAUCGCAGGAAGGAGUAGACGAAUGAGAUUGUAGAUUCCUAUUAAAUUUGUUUGAAUAACAUUUUGGAGCUCCUUUGAUGAAUCAAUGAAAAAACGGGACUAAUUGAGGAUUUUCUAGAUUACGACGGGACAGCACAAUAAGGCCUAAAAAACGGGACUGUCCCGUUAAAUACGCAAAAAAAUCAACUACACUGAUGAAAAUGAAAAUUUGAUUAAAAUAAUUACUUUCAUUUAUUUGCAGAAGGUAUUAGCAAUUAAAAAUACAAAAUCACCAAUAGUGUUAAUAUUAAUUUUAGAUUAGAAAAUUUCGCUGUAUUACAUGUAAAUGUUUUAAAAAAGUUCGCAAAAAG